rnacentral:rRNA from 1 species
CCUACGGGUGGCAGCAGUGGGGAAUAUUGCACAAUGGGGGAAACCCUGAUGCAGCGACGCCGCGUGAGUGAAGAAGUAUUUCGGUAUGUAAAGCUCUAUCAGCAGGAACGAGACAAGACGGUACCUGACUAAGAAGCCCCGGCUAACUACGUGCCAGCAGCCGCGGUAAUACGUAGGGGGCAAGCGUUAUCCGGAAUCACUGGGUGUAAAGGGAGCGUAGACGGCUGUGCAAGCCUGAAGUGAAAGGCGGGGGCCCAACCCCUGGACUGCUUUGGGAACUGUACGGCUGGAGUGCAGGAGGGGCAGGCGGAAUUCCUGGUGUAGCGGUGAAAUGCGUAGAUAUCAGGAGGAACACCGGUGGCGAAGGCGGCCUGCUGGACUGCAACUGACGUUGAGGCCCGAAAGCGUGGGGAGCAAACAGGAUUAGAUACCCUGGUAGUC